UUGUCUCACAGAGUCGCUUUCUUUGAUUAUCUCCAUCUCGGUGACAGAUAAUCAGAAAAAACAACAGACUCGGUGAAGAAUCUUGUCGAAAGUGGAGAAUUUUGCUUUUAAAGCAAUGGAGGAGUACAAUUCCGGAGAGGAGGUGUCCUUCAACGCAGAUGAGGCCAGUGUCUCAGUUAAAGAGUGUAUCGAAGUCAUCAUUGGAGGACUAGAUUACAACCAGAACAAAGUGAACCAGUGGACUGCCAGCAUCGUGGAGCACUCUCUCACCCAACUGGUCAAGCAAGGGAGACCAUUCAAGUUCAUAGUGAACUGUGCCAUCAUGCAGAAGAGUGGUGCUGGUCUCCACACGGCCAACUCCUGCUACUGGGACACUGCUACUGAUGAGACCACCGCACAACAUCAUUGUGUGCAGCGCUGUCCGUGUUGCUGAAGCUGCAACAUGAUAAGACAUUUGACUGAAAAGUGAUGUUGACGAAAUCCCUGGUUUGUUUAGUCAAAACAUUCCCUAUUCCCUCAGCCCUUGCUCUCUUUAGGUGACACAUGUAUGCAUCACAUGCCCGUGGCCAAUAGGGCCUGACCUAUAGCAUAGCAUAUCAUAAUCACAUCAAUAAAUUGGUUAUAAACAAACUCUGAACAUUGUAACACGUGACAGCAAAAUGGAUGCAGAGGGCGUGACAAAUAAACUGGAAACGGGAAUGUUUACUGGUUGCGCUGGAGGUAAAGGGGAAGCCAGAUGUGUGGAGUACAUGUGACUAGUUGUGGAAAACACUGGAGAUCAAGAAAAAGAAGGAAGCUGCACGGUCAGGUGGGAGAACCGCACCAUGUACUGUGUGGUGAGUGUUUUCGCCGUGGCCUUGACCUGUUAACAUCCCACCCCCACCCCUUUCUCGCACUGAGCUGAACACAACCUGGCAUGCACCAGCACCACCAAGCCUUGAAGAUCCAAGCUGAUUACCCAUGAAAAUAAAUGUCUGUUGUACAACAUCUUUCAACCCCACACUCUCAAACUUUGACCACUCCCAAUGGGAACCAUAGGAUGGGAAAUUGUGAUGUUGCUAUAAGUGGUGGAUACAUAGUGUUGUCUGUGUGUAAAUGUAAAUAGACCAGUAGUUCUAGAGAUAUGCUCAGCAUGGACUUAGAAAAUGGAACUAACCACACUGGACAUGUGGAAAAUUAUUUACUAAAUCAAUACAUCCCAUUUACAGUUUCAAUAGUGUGUCGUAGUUGAACCACUAUAAAAAAUAAUAAUAAUUGGAGUCUCAAAGCAGAGGUCAAGUUAUUAUACAUUCCUAACAGAGUGCAGAGAGAGACAUUGGAGGUUCUGUUGGAGCAUUGCAGGUUUAUGACGGUGUACUUUCUCUUUAAGAAUGUGUAUUAUAUUUACUCAUUCCCUCUGGAUUGUUGAAGUUGUAGCUCUCCUGCAUUUUGUAUCACAUUUACCUCACUAGCCCUUAUGUCAUUUGUGAUAUUAAAUCGACUGAAAAUGCUCAUGACACUACAAGUAUGACUUGUGACUGACCGUGUUUGUACAUUGACCUUUGUCAUUAAAUGUAUUAUUUAACUAUCGUCA